AGUUAGGCAGUAUUAGGGUACAGACAAUUUCCAUUUGUCAGGGGUACUAGCUA
rnacentral:tRNA from 1 species